rnacentral:tRNA from 1 species
GGAUUCCUGGCCCCGGGCAGGAGGGUACGGGUGCCGGCGACGGUCGCCGUGGGCGUGCGGGUACGUCCGGUCUGCGGUUCGGAAGCCGUGGCGACUCC